AGAAACCUAUACUUCAUGUCAUCAGUGACCGCAUGAAUGAAGUUGGGUUUUCUCGGCCAGAGGGUUAUCUUUAUCCUUAUCCUAUCAAGCCCGGUCCUUAUUUCAUUAAAGAGGAGGGAAACUGAGUAAGAUUACAUGCUAUUUGGAUCGGCGAGCGAGGACAAGCUGGGAGCGUCUUUACCAGCGGGUCCUGGGAGGCCUUGGUCAUGAUGAUCUAAGUUGUUAUCCUGAGAUCACAAAUUUCUAACAAUUGUGAGGUGAAGGCAACGAAGCCUUUCUGUUUGGGCGGCUGUACCUGUUUCUCCGGUGCUGACAGGAUCGGCAAGCAGAAUGAUGAUCUGCAGUGAGAACGCGAAAGCUGGGCUGCUCGGCGUUACAUCAAUUCCUGUCGUCGUCGUCGUUGUUCCGCCUUGGACUGCUGCUUCGAGCUGGACGUAGGAACUAGGAAUUGAUGUAAUGAAGGUUUGCUUUCCCUUUAUGAAACAAGCAUAUCCUAACUUUUGGUGUACUCCUGUUGUGUUGUGUCAAGUUCCCAAAAUUGCUGUU